CCUACGGGCGGCAGCAGUAGGGAAUCUUUCACAAUGGGCGAAAGCCUGAUGGAGCAACGCCGCGUGCAGGAUGAAGGCCUUCGGGUUGUAAACUGCUUUUAUAAGCGAGCAAUAUGAUGGUAACUUAUGAAUAAGGAUCGGCUAACUACGUGCCAGCAGCCGCGGUCAUACGUAGGAUCCGAGCAUUAUCCGGAGUGACUGGGUGUAAAGAGUUGCGUAGGUUGCAUAAUAAGUAGCUAGUGAAAUCUGGUGGCUAAACCAUUCAGACUAUUAGCUAAACUGUUAAGCUCGAGACCGUUAGGGGUAACUGGAAUUUCUAGUGUAGGAGUGAAAUCCGUAGAUAUUAGAAGGAACACCAAUAGCGAAGGCAGGUUGCUGGGACGGUUCUGACACUAAGGCACGAAAGCGUAGGGAGCAAACGGGAUUAGAUACCCGAGUAGUC
rnacentral:rRNA from 1 species